rnacentral:rRNA from 1 species
CACGUAGUUAGCCGGGGCUUCUUAGUCAGGUACCGUCUUGCUUCUUCCCUGCCGAUAGGGCUUUACAUGCCGAAGCACUCCUUCACCCACGCGGCGUCGCUGCAUCAGGGUUCCCCCCAUUGUGCAAUAUCCCCCACUGCUGCCUCCCGUAGGAGUCUGGGCCGUGUCUCAGUCCCAAUGUGGCCGUCCGCCCUCUCAGGCCGGCUACCGAUCGUUGCCUUGGUGGGCCGCUGCCCCGCCAACAAGCUAAUCGGACGCGGACCCAUCGCAUGCCGGGAUUGCUCCCUUUCCGUGCGGCGCCAUGCGGCGCCGUGCGCAUAUGCGGUAUUAGCGGCUGUUUCCAGCCGGUAUCCCCCUGCAUGCGGCAGGUUGUCCACGCGUUACUCACCCGUCCGCCACUCGGGCAGAUAUCACUAGGUUUCAAUCUGCCCCCGUUCGACUUGCAUGUGUUAGGCACGCCGCCAGCGUUCAUCCUGAGCCAGGAUCAAACU